ACGAACGCUGGCGGCGUGCUUAACACAUGCAAGUCGAACGGUAAGGCCCUUCGGGGUACACGAGUGGCGAACGGGUGAGUAACACGUGGGUGAUCUGCCCUGCACUUUGGGAUAAGCCUGGGAAACUGGGUCUAAUACCGAAUAUGAUCAUGGCCUUCAUGGGUUGUGGUGGAAAGCUUUUGCGGUGUGGGAUGGGCCCGCGGCCUAUCAGCUUGUUGGUGGGGUAAUGGCCUACCAAGGCGACGACGGGUAGCCGGCCUGAGAGGGUGUCCGGCCACACUGGGACUGAGAUACGGCCCAGACUCCUACGGGAGGCAGCAGUGGGGAAUAUUGCACAAUGGGCGCAAGCCUGAUGCAGCGACGCCGCGUGAGGGAUGACGGCCUUCGGGUUGUAAACCUCUUUCAGUAGGGACGAAGCGCAAGUGACGGUACCUAUAGAAGAAGGACCGGCCAACUACGU
rnacentral:rRNA from 1 species